GCGGUAAUAGCUCAGUUGGUAGAGCAUAACCUUGCCAAGGUUGGGGUCGCGAGUUCGAGUCUCGUUUCCCGCUCCA
rnacentral:tRNA from 1 species